rnacentral:rRNA from 13 species
CGGGGAAAGAAGACCCUGUUGAGCUUGACUCUAGUCAGACUUUGUGAAUUGAUUUGGGAGGUGUAGCAUAAGUGGGAGAUGCAAAUCGUCGAUGAAAUACCACUACUCCUGACAUCAAUUUACUUAUUUCGUUGGUUCGACUCGUGGCCUUUCGGUCAUUUGUUUCUGGACUUGCAUGCUGUUUGUCAGCAUCCUCGACGCGAGAGACAAAGUCUGGUGGGGAGUUUGGCUGGGGCGGCACAUCUGUUAAAUGAUAACGCAGGUGUCCUAAGGUGAGCUCAAUGAGAACAGAAAUCUCAUGUUGACCAAAAGGGGAAAAGCUCGCUUGAUUUUGAUUUUCAGUACGAAUACAAACUGUGGA